UACGGAGGAUGCAAGCGUUAUCCGGAAUGAUUGGGCGUAAAGCGUCCGCAGGUGGCUGUGUAAGUCUGCUGUCAAAGAGCGAAGCUCAACUUCGUAAAGGCAGUGGAAACUACACGGCUAGAGUGCGUUCGGGGCAGAGGGAAUUCCUGGUGUAGCGGUGAAAUGCGUAGAGAUCAGGAAGAACACCGGUGGCGAAGGCGCUCUGCUAGGCCGCAACUGACACUGAGGGACGAAAGUUAGGGGAGCGAAUGGG
rnacentral:rRNA from 1 species